rnacentral:lncRNA from 1 species
GGAGCUUGUGUGGCAUUUUACUGACAGUAUUCUCUGGGUUUGCAGGUGUCCAGUGCGAGCAGCACCUGGUGUAUUCUGGUGGUGACCUGGUACAGCCUGGGGGGUCCCUGAGACUCUCCUGUGUAGCCUCUGGAUUCCACCUUUACUAGCGGCUGGAUGAAAUGGGUUCGCCAAGCUCCAGGGAAGGGGCUGGAGUGGGUUGCAGACAUUAAUGGAAACAGCAGUGCCAAAAGAGUCUGCACAGGACUCCGGAAUGUCUGCCUCCUCACAAAGGAUUAGGACGUGGACCUCAGCAUCCUGCUGCCUGAUCGAGGUUUCCUCCACCUCCUUCUGCUCCAGCUGAACUAAGUCCUUAUCUAUGAAGAACCCUGCUUAUGAAUAUGCAAAUCAUGGGAGUCUAUGGUGGUAAAUUCAGGGAUGUCCUCACCACCAAAUACACAUGAUCAGUAUACUCUCCUCAGUGACUGAGCACACAGGUCCUCACCAUGGGCUGGAACUCUAUCAUCGUCUUCCUGGUGACAGCCGCU